GUGGGUAUAGCUGAGUGGUAGAGCACCUGUUUAGCAUGCAUGAGGUCCUAGGUUCAAUCCCCAGGACCUUCA
rnacentral:tRNA from 1 species